rnacentral:rRNA from 1 species
UACGAAGGGGACUAGCGUUGUUCGGAAUCACUGGGCGUAAAGCGCACGUAGGCGGAUUUGUAAGUCAGGGGUGAAAUCCCGGGGCUCAACCUCGGAACUGCCUUUGAUACUGCGAAUCUUGAGUCCGAUAGAGGUGGGUGGAAUUCCUAGUGUAGAGGUGAAAUUCGUAGAUAUUAGGAAGAACACCGGUGGCGAAGGCGGCCCACUGGACACGUAUUGACGCUGAGGUGCGAAAGCGUGGGGAGCAAACAGG